rnacentral:rRNA from 1 species
GAUGAACGCUGGCGGCGCGCCUAAUACAUGCAAGUCGAGCGAACGGACGAGAAGCUUGCUUCUCUGAUGUUAGCGGCGGACGGGUGAGUAACACGUGGAUAACCUACCUAUAAGACUGGGAUAACUUCGGGAAACCGGAGCUAAUACCGGAUAAUAUUUUGAACCGCAUGGUUCAAAAGUGAAAGACGGUCUUGCUGUCACUUAUAGAUGGAUCCGCGCUGCAUUAGCUAGUUGGUAAGGUAACGGCUUACCAAGGCAACGAUGCAUAGCCGACCUGAGAGGGUGAUCGGCCACACUGGAACUGAGACACGGUCCAGACUCCUACGGGAGGCAGCAGUAGGGAAUCCUCCGCAAUGGGCGAAAGCCUGACGGAGCAACGCCGCGUGAGUGAUGAAGGUCUUCGGAUCGUAAAACUCUGUUAUUAGGGAAGAACAUAUGUGUAAGUAACUGUGCACAUCUUGACGGUACCUAAUCAGAAAGCCACGGCUAACUACGUG